GACGAACGCUGGCGGCGUGCCUAAUACAUGCAAGUCGAACGAAGUGGGGACGGGUGAGUAACACGAGGGUAACCUCCCAUCAGAGGGGAUAACACUUGGAAACAGGUGCUAAACCGAUACUGAUGGAUGGACCCGCGGUGCAUUAGCUAGUUGGGGAGGUAACGGCUCACCAAGGCCACGAUGCAUAGCCGACUUGAGGGGGUGCACGGCCACACUUGGAAGGAGAAACGGCCCAGAUGCCUCCGGGAGGCAGCAUUAGGGAAGAUGCGGAAAUGGACGAAAGUCUGACGGACCAACGCCGCGGGCGUGAGGAAGGUUUGCGGUUCGUAAAACUCUGUUGUUAGGGAAGCGGUACCUAACCAGAAAGCCACGGCUAACUACGUGCCAGCAGCCGCGGUAAUAC
rnacentral:rRNA from 1 species